rnacentral:misc_RNA from 1 species
AAGUCGUAACAAGGUUUCCGUAGGUGAACCUGCGGAAGGAUCAUUAAUACGCUUUUGUUUGUAACAAAACAAAACGUUUUAAACUCCAAAAGAAAUAGUGGAAAUAUAACUUCCGGAUGCGAAUGUUGGGAACUGAGUAAAAUCGGUUCUUUGAAAAAGGGACUUCAAGUAAUUGACACUUCAGAGUAGAGCAGUGAGGUGAAAUUCUCUUUAAUGAGAGUUUGGUUCUGAAAAACAUUUGUAUCCGGUUAUCAUAAUCUGUUCUACAAACUCCAAAAUAUCAAACAAUAAACCCCAUGUACAACAACUUGAACUAAACAUUUUUUUGUUAUUCUUCUUGCACUUGUGUGAGGAGCUACAAAGAAAAAACCUGAACUUAAGAACAACUCUUAACAACGGAUAUCUUGGUUCUC